rnacentral:SRP_RNA from 1 species
UGCAGCCGGGGCAGUAGCGGCGCCCUGUACCUGUGAAAUCCGCUAUAGCAGGGGUGAUAUCUGAUUUAGGGUGUAUUAUUUCGGAGCAGCCCUGUUUUGGGCGGCGAUGACGUUUGGGUCUUUCGCAACGGAAAUCCGCGAAUCAUGUCAGGUCGGGAACGAAGCAGCAUUAAGCGGAAUCUUUCGUGUGCCGGAAGGUAGCCCGGAUCGAGCUUGUUCAUUACAGGAAACGUCCGGGGUAUGAGUUCGAGAUCAGGUGCACGG